AUUUCAACCAAUCAGUAACACACAUACACCCACAAACUCUCUCUAGCCCUAUCUCUCUAGAACUGAUUUCCGGCAAGGAGCCGGCGAAGGCCCGCCGGCGACGGCCGGCGGAAGUGCGGCGGAGCCGCGGCGGCGCCACCGCCGGUGGCGGUGCUCCGGUGACGUUUUUCCGGCGCGUGAGCGCACGUACCCCCGUAAAACGCACUCCUGAACCCGAUUCCGUCGAUGGUUUCUCUGUCCGAGCAGCAGAGGUGGUGGUUUGGACGUUGGCAGCCGAUUUCAAGCAAACUAGUUGUGCUCUGGGAGUCGAUCGGAGUGGUGACCGACAUGGGGGUCGAGGUUGAGAGAAAAGAUCGAAGAAUCGGAGACAGAAGAGCAGCGCCGCCUCUCACGGUGGCGGCGGUGGAGUUGAACGGCGGCAGACCAGCGACGGAGCUCCGACGGCGGCUGUGGUGGUCGUCUGUGGCCUCUCCCCGUUCCAUCUCAGUUCAGCAAGAGCGGGGUUAGUUUUGGUUCGAGGUUUGAAUUCUGAUUUGGUUUCACAUUUGAGUUUUGGUUUCUAUCGGGUCGAACUCAGUCUCGGUUCGGGUUCAGUCAACGCAAGUCAAAGGAAGGCAACUCAUUCGACAGUGCGGUUCGAUCAACUCAGGUCAAACUCGGUUAACUCAGUUAACACAGUUAACUCCGUUAACACGGUUGACUCGGUCAAGUCAGCGAGUCAACUCAGGUCAACAGCAGAUCAGCUGGUCAACGGUCAACAUGGGUUAAACGGUUCGGGUUAGCCGGUUCGAGUCGGAUCAUGAAGUAGUUCGGUUGACGCAGUCAAACCGAGUCAACUCGGUCAAACUCAGUCAAACCGAGUCAACUCAGUUGACUCGGUCAACUCAGUCAAGCGGUUUGAGGAAUCGACACGAGGAUUUGGUAAAGAUAAGUGACGCGAUUUAUUUAAAUACGUUUUAUAUAGUUUUAACGUAUCACGUGAUAACGAGCUCGAACCGACCAAUUAUAAUUUACAUUUGAUAUAUAUAUAUUUUUGCCGAAAUUACAUAUA